rnacentral:rRNA from 1 species
CUUGGCGGCAAUAGCGCGGUGGUCCCACCUGACCCCAUGCCGAACUCAGAAGUGAAACGCCGUAGCGCCGAUGGUAGUGUGGGGUCUCCCCAUGCGAGAGUAGGACACUGCCA